rnacentral:rRNA from 1 species
ACAAGCGGUGGAGCAUGUGGUUAAUCGAAGCAACGCGAAGAACCUUACCAGGUCUUGACAUCCCUGACAACCCGAGAGAUCGGGCGUUCCCCUUCGGGGGACAGGGUGACAGGUGGUGCAUGGUUGUCGUCAGCUCGUGUCGUGAGAUGUUGGGUUAAGUCCCGCAACGAGCGCAACCCUCGACCUUAGUUGCCAGCAUUCAGUUGGGCACUCUAAGGUGACUGCCGGCUAAAAGUCGGAGGAAGGUGGGGAUGACGUCAAAUCAUCAUGCCCCUUAUGACCUGGGCUACACACGUGCUACAAUGGGCGGUACAAAGGGUCGCGAACCCGCAGGGGGAGCCAAUCCCAAAAAGCCGCUCUCAGUUUGGAUUGCAGGCUGCAACUCGCCUGCAUGAAGCCGGAAUCGCUAGUAAUCGCGGAUCAGCAUGCCGCGGUGAAUACGUUCCCGGGCCUU